rnacentral:ncRNA from 1 species
GUAACAGCCAUGAACGGGAAAAGUAGCCAAUACUUCCUGCAGGGAGAGAGUGCCGUGACUGAAAGCACUCUCAGGAAAAAGGUUGGUGAAAGGACACCCUGGAGCUGGCAGGUUGAAAGUUUGCAUACGAGUAGGCCUGUCCGUAUAUUCUUGCGUUAAAGAAUAAAAGAGGGCAAUUGUACUAUUGCCUAUUAGGGUGGCACCGCGGGAAAACAGCCUCUCGUCCCUGGC